UACGAAGGGUGCAAGCGUUGUUCGGAUUUAUUGGGCGUAAAGCGCGCGCAGGCGGAUAAGUAAGUCAGGUGUGAAAUCUCUGGGCUCAACCUGGAAAGUGCGCCUGAAACUACUGAUCUAGAAUACCGGAGAGGGAAGGGGAAUUUCUCAUGUAGGGGUAAAAUCCGUAGAUAUUCGGAGGAACACCAGUGGCGAAGGCGGCUCACUGGCUCGGUACUGACGCUGAGGUGCGAAAGCGUGGGGAGCAAACAGG
rnacentral:rRNA from 1 species